GACGAACGCUGGCGGCGUGCCUAAUACAUGCAAGUAGAACGCACAGUUUAUACCGUAGCUUGCUCCCAUAGACUGUGAGUUGCGAACGGGUGAGUAACGCGUAGGUAACCUGCCUGGUAGCGGGGGAUAACUAUUGGAAACGAUAGCUAAUACCGCAUAAUAUUAAUUAUUGCAUGAUAAUUAAUUGAAAGGUGCAAUUGCACCACUACCAGAUGGACCUGCGUUGUAUUAGCUAGUAGGUGAGGUAACGGCUCACCUAGGCGACGAUACAUAGCCGACCUGAGAGGGUGAUCGGCCACACUGGGACUGAGACACGGCCCAGACUCCUACGGGAGGCAGCAGUAGGGAAUCUUCGGCAAUGGACGAAAGUCUGACCGAGCAACGCCGCGUGAGUGAAGAAGGUUUUCGGAUCGUAAAGCUCUGUUGUAAGAGAAGAACGGGUGUGAGA
rnacentral:rRNA from 1 species